ensembl:lncRNA
GCCACAGACAGGACGUGGGGCCGGCCGUGGGGCUGAGCCCUGCUGCAGGCAGGUCCUCCUGGAGCCAACAGACAGCUCUGUCGAUUGCAGAGGUGCUGCAGCAGCAGACUGGGCUCUGCUGAGGCAGAGGUGGAGUGAAGCAUCUCCGUGAGGACAGCCCACCUGCCAGGGGCUCAGAAAGCCAUGGCUGCAUGGGGACAGGAGCUUGGAGCUACCCCACAGCAUCCGUGAUGGGUCUGUCACUUUGCAGCGGGGCCGCUGUAAUUAUGCUGUGGGAAGCAGAGCUCACUUCGCCGAACCCUGAGCGGAUUAAGGAUCCUCCGUGCCUUUUCCCACCCCUCUCUGCCAGGGAAGGAGACGCCUGGAGGAGCUCUGAGGGGGUGAAGCAGCCUGCAGGAGAUCUGCUGCCUUCUCCCCGCUGGUGCUCCCCUCCAGCUCCUUCUGGAUGCAUGGCACGGGCUCUGCUUGCUGCUAGAUCACCCCUUCCCAUCAACACGUCUGCAACACCGGGACCUUCUCCUUCAGAGCUCACCCUGAGCUGCUGCAUGCAGGGUGCUCCCCAGCACACGGGGAGGUCUGUGCAAGGCAGCAGCUUCCAGCCCGAGCUGCCGUUGUGCUCUGUGUGCAGCAGGGAGGUGUAUCAUUAAUCUAUUAAUUAUUCACACUGCGCCAGACGGGCGCGCGGAAGAUCAGACGGGGAUUGCUGGCUCCCAGCGAGCUCCUCGACUCUCCUUAUGUCAAGAAUUGCUCUUCAGUCACAGGCACGUUGUCACCGGCCACCUGCAUGUGACAGGACAAUCUUUGUUAAAAUCCCAAUUAGCAGAUAAUAAGGGCGGCACGAAACCACAUUCUCCCAAGCCAGAUUGGCACCCGCCCUCCUAUUUUUUUUCCUUUCUCUUUAUUUUUUGUCCUUUCCCUUUCUAAAAUGGAUGUUUCUCGCCAAGACUUCAGGGCAAGAGGCAGCUCAGGCUUUCAGUAGGAACAACUGGAGAAAGCUAGAGGAGCUCAUGGUCUACCUGGUGCAAGGCAUGGAGAGAAGAAGCUACAGAAAGAGGUCUGAAGAAGUGGAAGCCUCCACUGAAUGCCACGUCGUCCCAUGGCCCCCUUGUAAACAAGGUGGGCUUCUUCAAAACAUUUAUUUCAGGUAUCAAACUGAAUGUUCCAUCUCUUGAGGGAUUCGAUUCUCUCUUUCCAGGCAGGGCUCCCAGUGCCUCAGCACAAGGCUUUAAAGGCAUUGCUCCACUCUUUUGGAUUAGUGACCCAUUCUAACAGGUCCUCAUUGACCGCCAUCGCGGGUCUCUCAAAGAGUCCAUUGGGCGCAGCUUACAAAGGAGCUGAGCCGGAGAUGAAGAGUUUACAAAAAGUUUGUAGGAAACCGUGGAGUCCUUUUAAAAGAGAAUAAACUGCCACUGCUGUGUCUGGGCUGAGUUAAUCUGAUUAGGCCAAGCUCAUCAACAGCCCCGCUGAAAGGAGCGCGGGGGGAACGCGGGCUGGGGCGGCCCUGGAGAGAAACCGGGGACCUUUUUAGCAUGGAAGUCAAACAAAACCCAUUGUGGCAGAGCGUGCUUGCCUACAGAUGGCAAAAUGACACAUCUUUGCAAAGGCAAAGCAAAUAUCCUUGAUGGUUUUUCUCUGUUUUGUUUUGUUUUUUUCUGGUUUUCUUCUCAGGUAUGGGAGCAGACACUGAAUGAGAUUAGCAGAUGCCAAAGGGAACGGGGCUGUGAAGCACUGCAGAUAGGUGUCCUGGUUGCUUGGGUGGGAUAGGUUGAUGAAGUUCACCUUCUCUAUGUAAAAUAUGGAGGGAUAGGAAGCCCUCAUACCUAGCAUUUCUUCUCCUCUGUCCCUUGGGAAUUGCACAGAUAUCUACAUGGGGAGCAAUGCAGACCCCGUGUCCACCAAGGGACAUGGUGGUGGUGGGUUGGUGAUCCUAGUGGCCAUUCCCAUCCUUAACAAUCUGACAACUCUAUGAUUCCAUGCUCCAUCAUCACCCACUUUGGGCCAUCCCUCAGUGGAUGACCAGGCAAUGCACCACCAAGGCUUUGCAGCAGCCUACAUGCAAACCCAACCACUUCAUCUGCUCGUGGCCAUAGCACCUUCAUCCCUAAGAAGCAGUGAUGCACAGCAAGUCAAUGCACUUGGACAAUGUGCUUGCAUGAUGCCCUUGUCUGAUGCACUAGCAAGAAGCAAUUGCACCAUGCUCUUGUACGAUGCAUCAGCAUGAUGUACUUGUAUGUUGCGCCUCCACAAUGCACUUGUAUGACGCAUUACUAUGGUGCACUUGCACGGUGCAGCCAAGGAAACACUGCCUACCAGGUCCUCUCUCCUUCCCCUUUUCCCCAGGCUUCAGCACGUCAAUCCUGCAGUUUUGACCUUGGUAAGCACUGCAGCACUUGAGCAAACACCUGAACAAGCCUUUGGCCCCCACGGCAUCCCAAAGAGGCUGUGCAGGGCCAGACAGCACUGACUGUGGGCAAAAGAAAACCCCUAAUUAAACGUCCCGUCGGGAAGUGACAUCCCCACCACUGCUCUGUAUUAGAGGAGCCAGGGCCGUGCUUGGAUUUACCAUAGGCAGCUCCUUAGCCAAUAUAAUUAAGAACAGUAUCAGUGGAAGGCAUGUAAGGAGAUUUUCUCCCCGAGGCCACCUAAUACAGAUGUAAUUGACUCUAUUUUCUGCUUUCUGCACAUGGAUUGCCGCAACUCAGCCCCUAUUAUCCGCCAACAAAUGAACAGGAUCUGCUGAAAGGACCUCUCCAGCCAGGGCCAGGCACAGAGAAUGGAGCACUGGGCUGUGUUAAAUCCGGACACAACGCGUUCCUUCCCUCCCUUUUCAUCUCCGCCGCCUUUUCAAGAUGUUUUCCAUGCGGGAUAAGUCAGCAGAUCUGGGCUUGGGCAAAGCGUUGGCACUCGGGGAAGAAGGGAACAUCUGUCCCAAUCAGCUGUGCUAUUCUGUGCCGCCCGACAAAACCGGGCGAUGCCUUCGAGAGGGGCUUUGUGAGCACGGCUGCAAUUUCCUUUCGCUGCGAUUUCGAAGGGCGGGGAAGGAGGAAGGGAGGUGAGAAAAGAAAUUAAAGCCCAUUGGCUUUGUGGUGAAAGAGGCCCCGAAAAAAUCUCCAUUUCUAACGCUGCAAAAUCCCCACCGCGUUCCCACAGCCAUCCCCCAAAAGGAUGUCCUCAGCAGCAGAGGCGCAAAGAAGAAUAGUUUAUUAGUGUAGAAAGCAAUUUGCUUAGCAAUACCCUUGCUUACAGCUGAAGGAGCCCCAGUGCUUCCUUGGAGCAAGAGAUGCUCUGAGCAUCCCAAUGGUGCACAUGGGAUGCAAUGGUGCACUGGUGCAAGGGUUGCGUCCCAGUGGUGCACAUGGGAUGCAGCUGUAUAAUGGUGCACAUGGGAUGCAGUGGUGCAAUGGUGAAAGGGAUGCAUCCCAAUAGUGCACAAGGGAUGCAGUGGUGCAAUGGUGCAAGGGAUGUGUCCCAGUGGUGCACAUGGGAUGCAGUUGUAUAAUGGUGCACAUGGGAUGCAAUGGUGCAGUGGUGUAAGGGAUGCAUCCCAAUAGCACAGAAGGGAUGCAAUGGUGCAGUGGUGCAAGGGAUGCAUUCCAAUGGUGCACAUGGGAUGUGGUGAUGCAAUGGUGUAAAGGAUGCA